CUUCCAGUUACAGAGCUCCUGCCAAAGGUUGAGACAAUUACUUCAACAAUCUUAAAGAAAUAAUUCAAGUUGUUGUCUCAUCAGUUACUAAGAAAAUUUUCCGUGGUUAUAUUUAUUCACAAAAACAUCUUUAUUUUAACUAACUUACAAAUGAAUUUAUUUAAAAUAAGACCUGACAAUCUGCUCUACUGUGGUUAAAUUAAAUCCAUGGAUGUACCAUAAUAAAUCAGAGGAGGAUGGAACACAUUUAAUUCCUUAAAAAUUAAAAGAAAGUGUUCUUUAAGCUACAAGUUUUUACAUGUAAUUCUUCCACACUCCUCAGCGCUGAUUAGACCUCUAUUGGAGUAUUGUGCCCAGUUCUGUGAGCAACAUUUCAGGAAAGAUGUGGAGAACUUGGAGAGGGUCCAGAGAAGAGCAACAAAAAUGAUUAAAUGUCUAGAAAACAUGACUUAUGAGAGAAGGCUGAAAGAAUUGGGCUUGUUUUGCUUGGAAAAGAGAAGACUGAGGAGUCAUGAUAGCAGCUCUCAAGUAAUCUAAAAAAGUGUUUCAAGGAUGAGAGAGAAAAAUAUCUCCUUAAAAUCUGAUGAUAGGACAAGAACCAAUGGUCUUAAAUUGAA